UGACGAGCGGCGGACGGGUGAGUAAUGUCUGGGAAACUGCCUGAUGGAGGGGGAUAACUACUGGAAACGGUAGCUAAUACCGCAUANGUCAGACCAAAGUGGGACCUUCGGGCCUCAUGCCAUCAGAUGUGCCCAAAUGGGAUUAGCUAGUAGGUGGGGUAACGGCCACCUAGGCGACGAUCCCUAGCUGGUUGAGAGGAUGACCAGCCACACUGGAACUGAGACACGGUCCAGACUCCUACGGAGGCAGCAGUGGGGAUAUUGCACAAUGGGCGCAAGCCUGAUGCAGCCAUGCCGCGUGUGUGAAGAAGGCCUUCGGGUUGUAAAGCACUUUCAGCGGGAGGAAGGCGAUGAGGUUAAUAACCUCAUCGAUUGACGUUACCCGCAGGAAGCACGGCUAACUCCGUGCCAGCAGCCGCGGUAAUACGGAGGGUGAGCGUUAAUCGGAUUACUGGGCGUAAAGCGCACGCAGGCGGUCUGUCAAGUCGGAUGUGAAUUCCCGGGCUCAACCUGGGACUGCAUUCGAAACUGGCAGGCUAGAGUCUUGUAGAGGGGGGUAGAAUUCCAGGUGUAGCGGUGAAUGCGUAGAGAUCUGGAGGGAUACCGGUGGCGAAGGCGGCCCCCUGGACAAAGACUGACGCUCAGGUGCGACAGCGUGGAGCAAACAGGAUAGAUACCCUGGUAGUCCACGCCGUAAACGAUGUCGAUUUGGAG
rnacentral:rRNA from 1 species